rnacentral:rRNA from 1 species
GACGAACGCUGGCGGCGUGCCUAAUACAUGCAAGUUGAGCGCUGAAGGUUGGUACUUGUACCAACUGGAUGAGCAGCGAACGGGUGAGUAACGCGUGGGGAAUCUGCCUUUGAGCGGGGGACAACAUUUGGAAACGAAUGCUAAUACCGCAUAAAAACUUUAAACACAAGUUUUAAGUUUGAAAGAUGCAAUUGCAUCACUCAAAGAUGAUCCCGCGUUGUAUUAGCUAGUUGGUGAGGUAAAGGCUCACCAAGGCGAUGAUACAUAGCCGACCUGAGAGGGUGAUCGGCCACAUUGGGACUGAGACACGGCCCAAACUCCUACGGGAGGCAGCAGUAGGGAAUCUUCGGCAAUGGACGGAAGUCUGACCGGGCAACGCCGCGGGAGGGAAGAAGGUUUUCGGAUCGUAAAACUCUGUUGGUAGAGAAGAACGUUGGUGAGAGUGGAAAGCUCAUCAAGUGACGGUAACUACCCAGAAAGGGACGGCUAACUACGUG